rnacentral:rRNA from 1 species
UACGAAGGGGGCUAGCGUUGUUCGGAAUUAUUGGGCGUAAAGCGCACGUAGGCGGCUUAGCAAGUCGGAAGUGAAAUCCCUCGGCUCAACCAAGGAAGUGCUUUCGAAACUGCUGAGCUUGAGUAGUUAAGAGGAUCGCGGAAUUCCCGGUGUAGAGGUGAAAUUCGUAGAUAUUCGGGAGAACACCAGUGGCGAAGGCGACUUACUGGACGACUGUUGACGCUGAGGUGCGAAAGCGUGGGGAGCAAACAGG